ensembl:lncRNA
UGAAUUGCCACCGUUGUAGACAGGUGGACCAGUUUGGAGCAUAAGGAAGAAAUGUUGGAGAAAGUGAACUUCAGUAAAAGAAGCUAGAGUCAGUCACCUCAGUCAGUGGCAGACCGUGAUGAAGACUUUGGUAUGCAGCCCCGGAUUUGGCCACAGCUCUGAUUUUUCCCUACAGGAAGUCAAGGACCUUUCAUUUAAGAGAGGAAGAGGGAUGUACACAAGUCUCUUUGACAAGUGGGAGUGCAGAAUAUUAAUAUAGUUGUUGGAUGUGAAGACAAAGAAGAAGAGAGCUGAUUGGCCCACAGCUGUGGUAAAUGUAGCCAGAAUGGAUUUUGAACAUAUCUGAACAGCAGGGACCAGUCAGCCAGAAGAGGAUCCCUUCUGGUGGGUGUCAAAACCCACAAGACCUUUGUCUUUCAGGAAGGUGAGGAAGAAGCCAGAGGUUUGUCUCCUUUGUUAUCUGUGGUUCUUUUUCCUGUCAUCUGCUGGCCAGGGGUCUCCUCAGUAGUUAGUGUCUAAGGACUUCUGAAAUCCAAAUGACAGAGAAGCAGGCAGAAGUUGUAAGCCAGAGCUCUGCUCAGCAGAUGUAGCAUGACAUCUCUAGGUCAGGUUGGAGAGGAGAUCCUCAGCCUGACUAGCACAAAAAGAAAAGAUUUCACACUGA